rnacentral:lncRNA from 1 species
AGGGACUGCUUUCUUUCAUUAAAACACCAGAUUUUUAAGUUUAUAUUUCUUUUCACACGGCACGAAACAGCAUGUCAUUUAAUAUUCAGAAGACGCUGACCCCCCGCAUGCACCACCCACCCACACGCACACACCCAUGGAUGUGCGCCCGCUCGCACACGCCCAUUCUCACACACACUGGCACUCACACAUUCGGGUGCAAUAAGCAUGCACGCGUGGUCGCACACACGCAUCUUCCUUGCCUUUAGCGUCAGUUCCGAUUCCGGGCCUGGCAAUUCCUCCGCGUCCAUGCGGAUGUCGAUCUGGACCUCAGCCUAUCCUGAUCCUCUCCCGGGAGUGACCAGGCGUGCACACGAGUAUCACCCCUCACUGCUGCUCAGCGAUUCGUCGAUGCAUCUCCGCGGCAGUCACCAGGCAUUGCCAUGCUUGCUUAACGGAGGAGAUGGGAGCAACUGAGAAAUUCACCACUGAGCUUUGUGCAAUUAGAUGAGAGAAACAACGUCCUACUCAGCCAAAUGCUUUCUUUGGCUUGAGAUGAUUUUGUUUUUCAUGGAGAAGUUGCAAGGCCUGGGAUGGCGUGGCACCUAGGGAGAGAGAACCUGGAGGCGGGAUAACCCGGCUGACAUCUCUUCUUGACAUUGGUACGAGGGUGAAGAGAAGAAGCUCACGGCCCCACGUCUCCCGUCUACCAGAGGGUCUGAGUGCUUACAGGUUUGUCCAGGAAAAACGCUUUGGUCAAUGUUUAAAAAUCAACAUAUUCACAUAACAUAAAAUUCAGGACUUAUGAGCAUUCUUUCAGUGGGUUUUGUAUAUUCACAAGGUUGCACAACCAUAACAGCUAUUGAAUUCCAGAAUGUUCUCACAAAGCCAAAAGAAAUGCUGUACCCCUAGCAGUCAUGCCUUCCCUCCCCAGCCCCCGGCAGCCACUAAUCUACUCUCUACAGAUUUGCCCAUUCUGGGCACUUCUUAUAAAUACAAUCAUAUAAUAUGUAAGCUUUUGUGUCUGGCAUCUUUCAUUUAACACAAUGUUUUUGAGCUUCAAACCUUCAUUUCUUUUUAUGGUUGAAUACUAGUCCAUCGUGUGGAAUUGUGUUUAUCCCUGCAAUCAGCCGAGGGAUACUUGGGUUCUUUCCGUGGCUUGCCACAGUGUGUUGUGAGUAAUAUUGCUUUGGACUUGGGGAUACAAGUUUUGUGUAAACACAAGUUUUCAAUUCUCUUAGGUAUUUGCCUGUGGAAUUCCUGGGUCAUGUUCACAUAUGUAUUAACAUAACAUAAUUCUAUGUUAAACUUCAGAGGGCCUCCCACCUGCUUUCCGCAGCGGGGGACACCGUUUUACCCUCUUGGCAGAAAUAACGAGGGUUCCCAUUCUCCGUAUCCUUACUGACACUUCCCCUUUCCAGAUUGCAGCUGUACUAAAUGGAUAGUUUUGACUUAGAGUUCCUUAACUCUUAUGAUGUUGGAUAUCUUUCUGUGUGCUUCUUGGCCAUUUAUCUUUUUGGUUGGUUGGUGGUUUGGUUUUGGCUGUACCUGCAGCAUGCAGAACUUCCCGAACCAGAGAUGGAACCUUUAGCACAGCAGUGACCUGAGCUGCUGCAGUGACAAUGCCAGAUCCUUAACCCGCUGCGCCACAAGAGAACUCCAUCUCGUUGGCCAUUUAGAUACCUUUGGAAAUAUAUCUAUUCAAAUCCUUUGCCCGUGUUUUAAUUUUAACUGGAACAUUUAUCUUUGUUAAGGUGGCAUUUUAAAAUGCUUUUACAUGCAGGCAGAGCUCAUUUUACUGCUCUUCAUUUUAUUGUGCCUCACAGAUAUUGUGGUUUUUACAAAUUGAAGGUUGUGGCCACCCAUGUUCUCAGAUGAUGGUGAGCAUUUUUUAGCGUUAAAGUAUUUUGUAAUUAAGGUAUUUACAUCAUUUUUUAGACAUAACAUUUUUUGCACACAGUAGACUAGCAUAAACAAAACUCAGCAAAGUAGUGCUGAGUUUUGAAGGGCCACAGACCAUUGCACUACAUAAGAUUUCCUUUCCUUCCACAGUGAAUUUUUCCCCCUGGGAAGCAAUUUUGCUGCCUGAUUCUGCUCAGAAUGCAGGCAUUAGGUCAAAGCUAGUGCCCUUCAGCAAAAGUAGGGUGAUUUUGUGAGAGAUCCUAUCACAGCUUUUGUGUGAAUGAAUACGCUCAUGGGUGCAAGACCCGCAUUUAACCCUGAGCCCUUCUUAAUCGCCAUAGGUCCUACCUGCUGUUUCUUAGUUAUACCUGCAUAGACUGCAAAGAAGGAUGGUGAUGGUUUUAUUCCUCCUGCCGGGAGAAGACUCGAACGCUGACCCAUGAACAUACAUGCCUGUGAACCAAUUUAGCACCUUGUUUGACUUAGACGCAAUUUACCACUUCAUCUUACGGUCAGGGCUUACCUGUGUUUCUCUUUUUUUAGAGCUGCACCCGUGGCAGAUGGAAGUUGCCAGGCUAGGGGUCAGAUUGGAGUAACAGCUGCCGGCCUACACCACAGCCACAGCAAGGCCAGAUACGAGCUGCAUCUGCGACCUACACCACAGCUCACGGCAGUGCCGGAUCCUUUCACCCACUGAGCGAGGCCAGGGAUGGAACCUGAGUCUUCGUGGAUACUAGUCGGGUUCAUUGCCACUGAGCACAAUGGGAACUCCUUACCUGUGUUUCUACCUGCCAAAUCUCCCUUGCUCGUGUGUUCAUGUAAUACCUAUGACCUGGGAUAAACACUUGGAAUAGUAACAUAAAUGCUACUCCUUCCAACUGGGUUUGAAGGAUCUAUGAAGACGCAAUGUCUUGAAAACCUUUUUCACUCGUUCGCACCCAUUGUGGGCUUGUAGGGCACCCAUUGUGGAUUAAUACAGAUUUCCCACCAUUUGCGCCAUUUCUUUUUCACUGAAAAGAAAUGAUGCCAGUGCUUUGUUAGAAUACCUGCCUGAUGGUCCUAUUUUGCUGAGUGUCACUGGUUCCAUAUGGGCAUUUUUGGAGUCAGGAAUGCCUGCUUCUUGAGCCGGCUUGGCAAAGGGACAGAGUGACAAAGAUGCCAGGUACCUAAGCUAAGGCCCCAGGACUGAGGCUGGAAUCAGGACAGAGUGUUCUCCCGGUGGUGGCCACACUGAUCUGGGAGUGGUUGGCUUAAGUGAGGGGAGUGGAGGUCAGUGCUUACCCACCUGUGUUCAGCAUCAGACACAUGUCCCCAGGAGGCUGCGAACAGAGGUUCAGGUGAAUAAUGAGGACCUGUGGGGACCACCAUGAGCUGCAUAGAUAGUGUCAGGCCGGUUAAGGUGGAAAGGCGCUAUAGGAUGCUGUGAACAUUCCAGCUCAGUAACUGCUUCUGUUGGGCGGUGGCCCAGUGGGACUUGAGGUGUCGUCCUCUCCGGAUGGCCAGAGAGCAGGGCAUGAUGAAAACUCAGGGAGCAGGAAGUUCCCUUGUGGUGCAGCAGGUUAAUGGUCUGGUGUUAUGGCAGCUGAUGUGUUAUGUUGCAAUUGCGGUGCUGGCUUGGGAACUUCCACCUGCCAUGAGUACAGCCAAACAACCAACCAACCAAACAAACAAACAAAAAACCUUGAGGGACAGUGAGCAGCCCUGAAAGUGUCCCACCCUGGAGACACGGGCCCCAAAUCCACAUUGAGAUCCUAGAGGAGAAGGAACUAUGCUUUAACUGGGUCUUUUUGGUGUUUUCAGCUAGAAAACUCUUCAAGAGAGGCCGAUGGAUGCCCGUAAACGCUGUAUUCCUAGAGACCAUGGUGUCACUUUAUAUGGGGCUCCAAAGUGCCUUGAUUCUCUAAUGAAAAAAAACCACCUUUAUUUUUGCCCUGUAUUUUCCCAAAAUGUCUAGAAACUUAAAUUAGGCACUACUAAGAACAGGUCUACUAAGGACAGCCUGCUAUCUGUCCUUAUGGACUUGGUCUACGGGAUCGUGAGAUUGGGGAUUCUUUAAGGGGCAGGGUUAGGGCCCUGGCUCCUUUAUCUCCUUCAGAGGUAAAAUGCUGCAUCUCCUCUCUUCCCAGUAAUUUCUAUAUGCUCCAUUACUCAGGGUCUCACUUGGCGUUUUUCUGUAAGGAGACAAUGGUUGAGACGGUUGGUAGGAGCCGAUGAUGGAGUUAAGACAUUAUAUGCUUUGUAACCCAGGGUCUUAGUGUCAUAGGAAACUGGAGUAAAAAUGACCCAGAUAUCUCGAUGACGUGUCCACCAAGGACAGGCUGUGGGAUUGUCUGAAUUCAGUGGCAUCGGAUCCCCUGUUUCCAUUUAUGCUCGGCCAGUCCCAGUGGUAAGAGUCCUUCAAGCUGCAGUCAAGGCCAGGAUAACCAGACUGCAGGACUUUUUCGAGAAACGCCAGCCCAUCAAUGCGAGGAUGUUGGUUUUCUCCAUGGAAACAGGCUCAGCAUCCCUGGGUGGUACUGGAUUGCUGGGAAGUGACUGGACUUACUGAAGCUACCUGCACUGUAACUCCUGAGAGAAGCCAUGCGAAGCCCCUCCCACCACCAUGAGCAGCGGGUAAGUCUGGACCUCCCAGAGGCUGAAGGGUCUAUGCUAAGUGAACAGACAAUAUUGGUCUAGCUCAGGGAUGUGGCAUUGCCCUGGUGAAGAGAAAUAUGAACCUAGAAAGCAAGAACUCUUCGAGAAAAACCUUGAGGUGUACUG